rnacentral:rRNA from 1 species
CACGUAGUUAGCCGGUGCUUAUUCUUCAGGUACCGUCAUUAGCAAGGGAUAUUAGCCCUCACCGUUUCUUCCCUGACAAAAGAGCUUUACAACCCGAAGGCCUUCUUCACUCACGCGGCAUUGCUGGAUCAGGCUUUCGCCCAUUGUCCAAAAUUCCCCACUGCUGCCUCCCGUAGGAGUCUGGACCGUGUCUCAGUUCCAGUGUGGCUGGUCGUCCUCUCAGACCAGCUACUGAUCGAUGCCUUGGUAGGCUUUUACCCUACCAACUAGCUAAUCAGAUAUCGGCCGCUCCACGAGCAUGAGGUCUUGCGAUCCCCCACUUUCAUCCGUAGAUCGUAUGCGGUAUUAGCGUAACUUUCGCUACGUUAUCCCCCACUCCAGGGUACGUUCCGAUAUAUUACUCACCCGUUCGCCACUCGCCACCAGAGCAAGCUCCGUGCUGCCGUUCGACUUGCAUGUGUAAGGCAUGCCGCCAGCGUUCAAUCUGAGCCA